rnacentral:rRNA from 1 species
UACGGAGGGUGCAAGCGUUAUCCGGAUUCACUGGGUUUAAAGGGUGUGUAGGCGGUUAUUUAAGUCAGAGGUGAAAUCUCCGGGCUCAACCCGGAAAUCGCCAUUGAUACUAUUUAUCUUGAGUCUUGUUGAGGUAGGCGGAAUAUAUCAUGUAGCGGUGAAAUGCUUAGAUAUGAUAUAGAACACCGAUUGCGAAGGCAGCUUACUAAACAGGCACUGACGCUGAGGCACGAAAGCGUGGGGAGCAAACAGG